rfam:Microvirga sp. V5/3M, complete genome.
CAUCGGCGCCCGGGCCCCUCUGGCAGGAUGCAGCAUGCGACUGUGAUGUCGGAGCCGAUGC